CCCUUUUCACUCCCACUGACAUCGAAUUAUUUAUACCUAUAUUGUAUACAGAUAUAAACGUACCUUUUAAAUAUAUAUACAUAUAUAAAAGCAGAGAGUAAGCAAGCAAUAGUUACUGAGAUCAUACAACGAGUAAGUUAAAGCUGUUGGUUGUAACAGCAACCAACAUCAAUUGCCAAGUGCGAGUGGCCAUUUUUUAAUGGAAUUUAUCAGCCAAGUGAAAGGUUUAUAAAUACAUAUUUGUAUGUAUUGCAAUUUACAAUAAAUUACAACUACAACAAAAAAAUAUAAUCCAAAAGUGAUGAAUUUAACUCUAAAGAAUUGUAGUUUUGGACGGCUCAGCAGGUCCAGUGUAUUUGUUUGUAAUUAAGAAUAAUUGAAUUAUUCUAUUCAACUGAAUAAAUGUAUAAAUAUUGAUGAAGAAAAGUAAUCAUACACGAGUGACUUGAUUUAUUGAUAACAAGUGGUAAUUUGAAUAUCUACAAUUCAAGUUAUAAUUGAUAAAUAUGUUUAAUGUAGAAGAGUUCAGAAUAGUUUACAGAUGAUCUUAGAUGCAAGUAGGUGCCAAUGGACAGAAAUUUGAGAAAGGACAUAUAAAUGUCAUAGUACCCUCGCACUGUACCAACAAACGCCUGCGGCCAGCUGAUUCUUAAAGAUGGCCACUAAUCAAGUUGAUUAUCAGUGGGCUUAUUCCAUUAUGGAUUCGUCUAGAGUAUCCACUUUCCUGAUUUCGAUUUUGCUAAUCGUUUAUGGAAGUUUUCGAUCUCUUAAUAUGGAACAAGAAGCGAGAGAAAGAGAGAAAGAAAAAGAGCGAAAAAAUUUGCUCAGUGGAAUAGUUAGUGGUACUGGUGGUGCCGAUAGUUCUGCUAGUUCUGGUGUACAAACUCUGGAUACCAUGCACGCUCUUUGUUUACCUCUUGGUGCUUCCAUAUCUCUACUUAUCAUGUUUUUCUUUUUUGAUAGUAUGCAAAUGCUGUUUGCUAUUUGCACAGCAAUUAUUGCGACGGUCGCACUAGCAUUUCUUCUUCUACCUAUGUGUCAGUAUAUCAUACGACCGUGUUCCGAUGGAAACAAAAUAUCAUUUGGAGUUUGCGGGAGGUUUACCAGUGCUGAGUUGUUAUCAUUCUCACUUAGUGUCAGUAUAGUAUGUAUUUGGGUAUUGACAGGACACUGGUUACUGAUGGACGCAAUGGGUAUGGGUUUAUGUGUCGCUUUCAUAGCAUUUGUAAGACUACCCAGUCUGAAGGUAUCUACACUGUUACUCACUGGAUUACUUAUUUACGACGUUUUCUGGGUUUUCUUUUCAUCUUAUAUAUUUAGUACAAACGUCAUGGUUAAGGUAGCCACUAGGCCAGCCGAUAAUCCCGUUGGACUCGUAGCAAGACGAUUACAUCUUGGUGGAGUUGCACGUGAAGCUCCUAAGCUUUCUUUACCUGGCAAACUGGUUUUCCCAUCAAUGCAUCAAGCCGGCCACUUCUCAAUGCUCGGUCUUGGUGACGUUGUUAUGCCUGGGCUUUUACUAUGCUUUGUCUUACGUUACGAUGCUUAUAAAAAAAGCCAACUAAUUCCCGGUGGUUGUGAAGCUGGAGUACCACCUCCAAGACAUCUUGGUCGUAUCAGUUACUUCCACUGUUCACUCAUCGGUUAUUUUCUUGGUCUACUCACUGCCACAGUAAGCUCUGAGGUUUUUAAAGCUGCGCAGCCCGCAUUACUUUAUCUCGUACCGUUUACGCUUUUGCCGUUACUUACGAUGGCAUAUCUUAAGGGGGAUUUAAGAAGAAUGUGGAGUGAACCAUUUAUAACUCAUCCGCAAACAAAACAUAUGGAUGUUUGACAACUGUCGUGGAAUCGCACAUUUCAAGUAUUUCGCCAUAAGAACAAAAAAUUUAAUACGUAUGUAGUAUCAUAUUUCAAUUUAAUACUCCUAGUUUUCAUCAGUAUCAUACAUACUUAUGAAAAAAAAGAAAACUAAAAAAAAAAAAAAAAUGCAAUGAAAUUACUUCACUUAUUCAUGUUAUCGUUUGAAUAUUGUAAAAAUGCACUAUGAAGAUUCAACGAUAUGUAGAAUUUAGGUGUAAAACCAUAAGUUAUUAAUGAUCUUUAAUUUAAUAAUUGAUAAUAUUAUAUACAUGGAGUAUGGCUGACUGAGAAGAAAAAAAAAAUGCGAUUAAAUUUUUUUUUAUUUUCAAAUAAGUGAAUAAUUAAGCGUACUCAAUAUUAUUUACUCCGGAAAAAUGUGAUGUAAAAAAGAAAAAGAUAAUACUGAAAGUAUCUAUAAAUCCAGAGAAAUUAUAUUAGAGUCACUCAGUUUAUAUGUGUUCUACGUAAAAUAAUCGUAAAUUAAACGGACAAAUUUGUAAUUAGUCAAAUUAUUUUUGCCCUAAAUAUUUUUUUUCUUUUUUUCUUUUAUAUUUUAUUUAUUUUGUAUAAGAAUUAUAUAUUUAAACAUAAAUAUUGAGGCAAUAGUUCAAAUCAUUAAAAUUGUAAAUAAUUGACAUUUAAUCGAUUAUAUCGACAUGUCAAUUCAAUUGUAAAGAAACGCGUAUUGGUUGUGACUUUAUUUAAUGAACACGAAAAUGCUUUUUAUUUUUUUUUAAUCUUAUAAAAGCAACAAUGUUAUGUAUAUAUAAAUAUUAAUUAUAAAUAAUUUUCUUUAGUGUUUAAUUACACUUAAAGUUUUGGUAAUUCUUUUAAUGAAGAAUUUGGUGAUUAUUCUGAGAUAAAAAAAAUAAAUAAAUGUGCCGAAACAUUUUUCGUUUGUAUCUUAAAGAAUUAUU